rnacentral:lncRNA from 1 species
CUUAAAAUUGACAAACACGGACAUUCUCCAGCUGAAGAUGAGCUCUCCUGAAGACAGAGCAGCCUGUGACAUGUCUACAUGCACGAGGACAGAAGAGAAAAUAAAGUUAUGGGCGAUGACAGAAUUGUGCAGGCGAAUUGCAGCAGCCGUCCUCCGGAUGUCAAGCUCAAUCCCGGUGUCUGUCUGGGAAAUGACGGGUGGCUGUCUCAGAAACUGUCCCGAGGAACGAAGAGCAGGAGAUAGGAUAAUAAUAAACUGCCUGAAAUUUUAUUAUUCUAUAUUUUGAAAUUUUAGCCUGAGCGCAUUUUGGAUGGAAUCCUGAGACAAAGCAGUAUGCCAGUG